AAAUGAUUACACGUAACGGACCCCGAGACAAUCACCGAACACGGGGGAACUCUGAAUUCGGCGCCAGGACCCUCCGGCUGUGCUGUCAAGCCGCUUCACGAUUCACUUGAAACCUUGUGAUGUUUCACUUUCCCCUCCUGAGCCACAAUGGAUUUUGUUUUCGUGUUUUUUCGAACAGGUUUCCAGUGCAACAUGAGUAACAUGAGAUAUCACAGCAAGGGACCCAGGAGUCUUGCAAAAUCAUGAACUUACCUACGGACAUCAAAUUUGGACUUGAGGCUUUGCCUUUUCAAGACUUGGCUUUAACCAUUCAGACCUGUCGUUACCACUUGUUCUCUUCCAAGAUGAAGUGUUUGCGUUUGGAGAUACGAAAGCCACCUUUAUACUGAUUACAAAUGCUUGUGUCUCUGGUGUAAAAGCACCAUUUAAAACCACCAAGUCUGGGCAUAAUUGUUUCUGAAUUUGGAAUUGAUAAAAUAAAUUGACAUGAGUUGCUAUUUCAAUCACUCCAAGGGGAUUAGAUAAACUUCCAACUUUCAAAAAUAAAGUCAGUGGAAAAACAAUCUGUGUAUCACAAGAAAAGAAAGUUUGCUUUUGGAAGAAUAAAUUGGACACUAAUAAAUACUUUCAACCUAA